rnacentral:rRNA from 1 species
UACAGAGGUCUCGAGCGUUGUCCGGAUUCAUUGGGCGUAAAGGGUGCGUAGGCGGCGGGGUAAGUCUGAUGUGAAAUCCCGGGGCUCAACUCCGGAACUGCAUUGGAUACUGCUCUGCUUGAGUACUGGAGAGGAGACUGGAAUUUACGGUGUAGCAGUGAAAUGCGUAGAUAUCGUAAGGAAGACCAGUGGCGAAGGCGAGUCUCUGGACAGUUACUGACGCUGAGGCACGAAGGCUAGGGGAGCAAACGGG